ensembl:lncRNA
GCUGGACCAGAGGUCCUAUAACCCAGUAGGACUGCUGGACCAGAGGUCCUAUAACCCAGUAGGACUGCUGGACCAGAGGUCCUAUAACCCAGUAAGAUGCUGGACCAGAGGUCCUAUAACCCAGUAGGACUGCUGGACCAGAGGUCCUACUGGUUCUAUAACCCAGUAAGAUGCUGGACCAGAGGUCCUAUAACCCAGUAGGACUGCUGGACCAGAGGUCCUAUAACCCAGUAAGAUGCUGGACCAGAGGGUCUAUAACCCAGUAGGACUGCUGGACCAGAGGUCCUAUAACCCAGUAGGACUGCUGGACCAGAGGUCCUACUGGUUCUAUAACCCAGUAAGAUGCUGGACCAGAGGUUCUAUAACCCAGUAGGACUGCUGGACCAGAGGGUCUAUAACCCAGUAGGACUGCUGGACCAGAGGUCCUAUAACCCAGUAGGACUGCUAGACCAGAGGUUCUAUAACCCAGUAGGACUGCUGGACCAGAGGUUCUAUAACCCAUUAGGACUGCUGGACCAGAGGUUCUAUAACCCAGUAGGACUGCUGGACCAGAGGUCCUAUAACCCAGUAGGACUGCUGGACCAGAGGUUCUAUAACCCAGUAGGACUGCUGGACCAGAGGUUCUAUAACCCAGUAGGACUGCUGGACCAGAGGUUCUAUAACCCAGUAGGACUGCUGGACCAGAGGUCCUAUAACCCAGUAGGACUGCUGGACCAGAGGUCCUAUAACCCAGUAGGACUGCUGGACCAGAGGUUCUAUAACCCAGUAGGACUGCUGGACCAGAGGUUCUAUAACCCAGUAGGACUGCUGGACCAGAG